AACGCAUCUUGCGCUCCUUGGUAUUCCGAGGAGCAUGCCUGUUUGAGUGUCAUUUGACCUUCUCAACCACAUCGUUCUUGUUUUGAAUGUGUGUGGCUUGGAUGUGGGGGGAAUAAUUUUAUAUUUUUUGCAGGCUUCAAAUCAAGAAGCCAGCUCCCCUGAAAUGAAUUAGUGGUGUCUGAGCUGCUAUUGGUGUGAUAAAUUAUCUAUGCCUUUGGUGAUGCUGGUCAGCACUGCUUAUAACGGACGGUGAUCAUUUGACAAAUUUGACCUCAAAUCAGGUAGGACUACCCGCUGAACUUAA
rnacentral:misc_RNA from 1 species